GACGAACGCUGGCGGCGUGCUUAACACAUGCAAGUCGAACGGAAAGGCCCUGCUUUUGUGGGGUGCUCGAGUGGCGAACGGGUGAGUAACACGUGAGUAACCUGCCCUUGACUUUGGGAUAACUUCAGGAAACUGGGGCUAAUACCGGAUAGGUGCUCCUGCUGCAUGGUGGGGGUUGGAAAGUUUCGGCGGUUGGGGAUGGACUCGCGGCUUAUCAGCUUGUUGGUGGGGUAGUGGCUUACCAAGGCUUUGACGGGUAGCCGGCCUGAGAGGGUGACCGGCCACAUUGGGACUGAGAUACGGCCCAGACUCCUACGGGAGGCAGCAGUGGGGAAUAUUGCACAAUGGGCGGAAGCCUGAUGCAGCAACGCCGCGUGCGGGAUAACGGCCUUCGGGUUGUAAACCGCUUUCGCCUGUGACGAAGCGUGAGUGACAGUAAUGGGUAAAGAAGCACCGGCUAACUACGUG
rnacentral:rRNA from 1 species